UUGAACGCUGGCGGCAGGCCUAACACAUGCAAGUCGAGCGUGAAAAGUUUUCGGACUUAGUAAAGCGGCGGACGGGUGAGUAACGCGUAGGAAUCUACCUAGUAGUGGGGGAUAACCUGUUGAAAAGCAGGCUAAUACCGCAUACGACCUAAGGGUGAAAGUGGGGGAUCUUCGGACCUCAUGCUAUUAGAUGAGCCUGCGUUAGAUUAGCUAGUUGGUAGGGUAAAGGCCUACCAAGGCGACGAUCUAUAGCUGUUCUGAGAGGAUGAUCAGCCACACUGGGACUGAGACACGGCCCAGACUCCUACGGGAGGCAGCAGUGGGGAAUAUUGGACAAUGGGGGCAACCCUGAUCCAGCCAUGCCGCGUGUGUGAAGAAGGCCUUAGGGUUGUAAAGCACUUUCAGUAGGGAGGAAAGGUUGGUAGUUAAUAGCUACUAGCUGUGACGUUACCUACAGAAGAAGCACCGGCUAACUCCGU
rnacentral:rRNA from 1 species